AUGUCACAGAAGUUUUACGAAAUCGAUUUAUUUCACCUUUUCCAAAUCGUUACGAUUUGCUUUUGCUUCUUCAGCACUCGUACGUUUUGACUAAUCCGGAAAAAAAAUCAUUUCACAUUUUUGAAAUAAAAAUAUGGUAACUCCAUGAAAAAAAGUCGUAAACAAAUUAUUGACAAUUAAAAAAGGAGUUUAAAUUGUUUUUUAUAAUAUAAACACCAAAAGUUAAAAAUGCCAGGGGCUUCAAUACUUGCUGUAAUGGAUGAAGAAAUAAAUCAGCGGUCUACUGAAAAAAUUCGUCGCCGGACAUUGAGGAACGCAUCAGAUCCUUUAUCUCACUCAAAUGCAGAAUUUAUAACUUAUUAUCGGCUAAAUAAAGAAGCUUUUGUUUUAGUUUUGGAAAAAAUUUCUCCCCACCCCAAACGUUCCAAUAUACCGGCUAUUAUCCAGCUUGCAACAACGCUUAGGUUUUUGGCUACAGGUGCAUUUCAAGGAGUUAUAGGUAGAGAUGUGGAGCUAAGCCUUGGGAGAAGUACAGUUUCUACAAUUAUGUGGAGAGUUAUUAAUGCAAUUGAAGCUGAAAUUUGUCCACAUUGGAUCAAAUUAAUAAUGUCUUCCGAAGAAAAAAGAAAGUCGAAAUUGUACUUUUUUGAAAAUUAUGAAAUUCCAGGAAUUGUAGGAUGCAUUGACGGAACUUGCCCGAUUGACUGAAGCGCUCUGUCUCAAACCAAACAAUUAAUUGUUUUUUUUUUUUGUUUUUCCCCUUUCUUGCUUUUUGGUCUGUCAGUUGUACAUUUCUACACCUUCUUCUUCAGCACAUAUGGCAAUAAUUCAACAAUACAAGUCUGCCGUUCAUUUCUGCAUAUUUUUUUGCGUUUUCAUCAUGGAUUAGAAAAAUAAUAGAUUUUUUGUAAAAUAAAUUCCAAAAACAUGUUCAUUCUAAGAGAAUUUGGUUAAUACAAUAUUUUCUGUUAAAUGUA